ensembl:lncRNA
GACUCUGUUUUAAUCAUUCUUGGGGACUUUAAUAAAGCCAAUCUCUCCCGUGAACUGCCAAAAUACAGACAGCAUGUUACAUGUCCCACCAGAGACAGUAAUAUAUUGGAUCACUGUUACACCACAAUAAAGGAUGCAUAUCACUCUGUUCCACGAGCAGCUUUGGGACUGUCUGAUCACUGUCUGGUUCAUCUUAUACCAACCUACAGGCAGAAACUUAAAUCUGCUAAACCUGUAGUAAAGACUGUAAAGAGAUGGACCAACGAAACAGAGCAGGAUUUACAAUCUUGUUUUGACCUCACUGAUUGGAGUGUUUUUGAAGCUGCUACCACCGAUCUGGACGAACUCACAGAGACCAUAACAUCCUAUAUUAGUUUUUGUGAGGAUAUAUGUAUUCCUACCAGGACUUAUUUAACAUUCAACAAUGAUAAGCCAUGGUUUACAGCAAAACUCAGACAUCUUCGUCAGGCCAAAGAGGAUGCCUACAGAAAUGGGGACAGAGUCUUGUAUAAUCAGGCCAGAAACACACUGAACAAAGAGAUUAGAGUGGCUAAAAGGACCUACUCUAAAAAGUUGGAAGACCACUUUACUUCCAACGACUCACCUUCAGUAUGGAAAGGACUGAGAGCCAUUACCAACUACAAGACACCAUCCCCCUGCACUGAGGCAAAUCAACGACUUGCUAACGACCUGAAUAAAUUUUAUUGUAGAUUUGAAACACCCCACACCCAUUCUCAUCAUCUCUCUACACAACCGUUAACACCUCCUGCAAUCCCCCUCUCCUCCCCUCCUGCACUUCAAAUUAGUGAAAACGAUGUGCGCCAGGUCUUCAGGAAGAACAAAAGAAGAAAAGCACCAGGCCCAGAUGGUGUUACACCAGCCUGUCUGAGAACCUGUGCUGACCAAUUGGCCCCCAUCUUUUCACAGAUCUUCAACAGAUCUCUGGAGUUGUGUGAAGUGCCUUCCUGCUUCAAACGCUCCACCAUCAUCCCCAUUCCAAAGAAACCCAAGAUAACAGGACUUAACGACUACAGACCUGUGGCUCUAACGUCUGUCGUCAUGAGGUCAUUUGAAAAACUGGUUCUGGCUUAUCUGAAGGACAUCACUGGACCCUUACUGGGCCCCCUGCAGUUUGCUUACCAAGCAAACAGGUCCGUGGAUGAUGCAAUCAACUUGGGAUUGCACUUCAUCAUGCAACAUCUGGACAAAACAGGGACUUAUGUGAGGAUCCUAUUUGUGGACUUUAGUUCGGCUUUCAACACCAUCAUCCCAACAGCUCUCCAGACCAAACUGACCCAGCUCUCUGUUCCUAGCUCUAUCUGUCAGUGGAUAACCAGCUUUCUGACAGAUAGGCAACAGCUAGUGAGACUGGGGAAAUUCAUGUCAAACAGCCACUCCACCAACACUGGUGCCCCUCAGGGAUGUGUUCUCUCCCCACUGCUCUUCUCCCUCUACACCAACGACUGCACCUCUAAAGACCCCUCUGUCAAGCUCCUGAAGUUUGCAGAUGACACUACAGUUAUCGGUCUCAUCCAGGAUGGUGACGAGUCCCCCCUGCACUCCCCCCACUCACCAUCAUAG